UUGAACGCUGGCGGCAUGCCUUACACAUGCAAGUCGAACGGUAACAGGCCUUCGGGUGCUGACGAGUGGCGAACGGGUGAGUAAUGCAUCGGAACGUACCCAGAGGUGGGGGAUAACGCAGCGAAAGCUGUGCUAAUACCGCAUGUGAACUGAGGAUGAAAGCGGGGGACCGAGCAGCAAUGUUUGGCCUCGCGCCUUUGGAGCGGCCGAUGUCGGAUUAGCUAGUUGGUGGUGUAAAGGCCUACCAAGGCGACGAUCCGUAGCUGGUCUGAGAGGACGACCAGCCACACUGGGACUGAGACACGGCCCAGACUCCUACGGGAGGCAGCAGUGGGGAAUUUUGGACAAUGGGCGCAAGCCUGAUCCAGCAAUGCCGCGUGCGGGAAGAAGGCCUUCGGGUUGUAAACCGCUUUUGGCAGGAACGAAACGGUGUCCGCUAAUACCGGGCGCUAAUGACGGUACCUGCAGAAUAAGCACCGGCUAACUACGUG
rnacentral:rRNA from 1 species